rnacentral:rRNA from 1 species
AUUGAACGCUGGCGGCAGGCUUAACACAUGCAAGUCGAACGAGUGGCGGACGGGUGAGUAAUGCUUGGGAAUCUAGCUUAUGGAGGGGGAUAACUACUGGAAACGGUAGCUAAUACCGCAUACAAUCAGAUGUGCACAGAGUGGAUUAGCUCGUAGGUGGGGUAACGGCUCACCUAGGCGACGAUCCCUAGCUGGUCUGAGAGGAUGACCAGCAACACUGGAACUGGGACACGGUCCAGACUCCUACGGGAGGCAGCAGUGGGGAAUAUUGCACAAUGGGCGCAAGCCUGAUGCAGCCAUGCCGCGUGUGUGAAGAAGGCGUUCGGGUUGUAAAGCACUUUCAGCGGUGAGGCGUUACCCGCAGAAGAAGCACCGGCUAACUCCGUGCCAGCAGCCGCGGUAAUUC